UUGGUUGACAUUGGUAUAUAGUCUAUGUUAUACUGUUAAAUAACAAGCCUUCUAUUAUCUAUAUUCUAGUUAAUACGUGUGCUUGGGAGUCCUUGCAAUUUGAAUAAACCAAGAUCUUACCAUGACUGCAAUUUUAGAGAGACGCGAAAGUACAAGCCUGUGGGGUCGCUUCUGCAACUGGAUAACUAGCACUGAAAAUCGUCUUUACAUCGGAUGGUUCGGUGUUUUGAUGAUCCCUACCUUAUUGACCGCAACUUCUGUAUUUAUUAUCGCCUUCAUCGCUGGCCCUCCAGUAGAUAUUGAUGGUAUUCGUGAGCCUGUUUCUGGUUUUUUACUUUAUGGAAACAAUAUUAUCUCUGGUGCUAUUAUCCCUACUUUUGCGGCGAUCGGAUUGCACUUUUACCCAAUUUGGGAAGCUGCAUCUGUUGAUGAGUGAUUAUACAAUGGUGGUCCUUAUGAGCUAAUUGUUCUACACUUCUUACUUGGUGUAGCUUGUUAUAUGGGUCGUGAGUGGGAACUUAGUUUCCGUCUGGGUAUGCGUCCUUGGAUUGUUGUUGCAUAUUCAGCUCCUGUUGCAGCUGCUACUGCUGUUUUCUUGAUUUACCCUAUUGGUCAAGGAAGCUUUUCUGAUGGUAUGCCUUUAGGAAUAUCUGUCACUUUCAACUUUAUGAUUGUAUUCCAGGCAGAGCACAACAUCCUUAUGCAUCCAUUCCACAUGUUAGGUGUGGCUGGUGUAUUCAGCGGUUCCCUAUUCAGUGCUAUGCAUGGUUCCUUGGUAACCUCUAGUUUGAUCAGGGAAACUACUGAAAAUGAAUCUGCUAAUGAGGGUUACAAAUUUGGUCAAGAGGAAGAAACUUAUAAUAUUGUAGCUGCUCAUGGUUAUUUUGGCCGAUUAAUCUUCCAAUAUGCUAGUUUCAACAACUCUCGUUCUUUACACUUCUUCUUGGCUGCUUGGCCUGUAGUAGGAAUCUGUUUCAUUGCUUUAGGUAUUAGUACUAUGGCUUUCAACCUAAAUGGUUUCAAUUUCAACCAAUCUGUAGUUGAUAGUCAAGGUCGCGUUAUUAAUACUUGGGCUGAUAUCAUCAACCGUGCUAACCUUGGUAUGGAAGUAAUGCACGAACGUAAUGCUCACAACUUCCCUCUAGACUUAGCUGAUGUUGAAGUUCCAUCUAUUAAUGGAUAAGGUUUUUCUGCUAACAUAUAAGAAUUUUUGAAGAAAGAAAAGACAGAAAUACCCAAUAUCUUGUUCUAGCAAGAUAUUGGGUAUUUCUGUCUUUAUUUUGAAUCUUUUUUUUCUUCUUAAUCUUUCUAUUCAGAAUUAAGUUAACGACGAGAUUUAGUAUCCUUUCUUGCAUUUUCAUAACUCAUGAAAUGCCGAGUAGGCACGAAUUCCCCCAAUUUGCGACCUACCAUAGGAUUUGUUAUGUAAAUAGGUAUAUGUUCCUUUCCAUUAUGACUCGCGAUUGUAUGGCCAACCAUUGUGGGUAGAAUGCUAGAUGCCCGGGACCACGUUACUAGUGUUUCUUUCUCCUCCUUCAUAUUGACCUUUUCUAUCUUUGCCAAUAAAUGAUGAGCUACAAAAGGAUUCGUUUUUUUCGUGUCACAGCUGAUUACUCCUUUUUUCCUUUUUAAAGAGUGGCAUUCUAUGUCCAAUAUCUCGAUCGAAGUACGGAGGUCAGAAUAAAUAGAAUAAUGAUCAAUGGAAAAAAGAAAAAAAAA